rnacentral:rRNA from 1 species
UAGCGGCGAGUGAGCGGCAAGAGCUCAGAUUUGAAAUCGUGUUUCGGCACGAGUUGUAGAGUGUAGGCGGGAGUCUCUGUGGAGCGCGGUGUCCAAGUCCCUUGGAACAGGGUGCCUGAGAGGGUGAGAGCCCCGUAGGGUGCUGCGCGAAGCUUUUGAGGCCCUGCUGACGAGUCGAGUUGUUUGGGAAUGCAGCUCCAAGCGGGUGGUAAAUUCCAUCUAAGGCUAAAUAUUGGCGAGAGACCGAUAGCGAACAAGUACUGUGAAGGAAAGAUGAAAAGCACUUUGAAAAGAGAGUGAAACAGCACGUGAAAUUGUUGAAAGGGAAGGGUAUUGGGCUCGACAUGGGGGGUGCGCACCGCUGUCUCUUGUAGGCGGCGCUCUGGGCGCCCUCUGGGCCAGCAUCGGUUCCUGCUGCGGGAGAAGGGGCUCCGGAAAGUGGCUCUUCGGAGUGUUAUAGCCGGGGCCAGAUGCCGCGUGUGGGGACCGAGGACUGCGGCUUCUGUCUCGGAUGCUGGCAUAACGGCGCAAUACCGCCCGUCUUGA